rnacentral:tRNA from 1 species
GCUUCCCUAGCCCAGUUGGUAGAGCAACGCACUCGUAAUGCGUAGGUCGUGGGUUCGAGUCCCAUGGGGAGCU